rnacentral:lncRNA from 1 species
CCUGGUGAUAACAACAGUAGAAAACUUAGCAGGUUCCAAGGAUUUUGGUGUAAAUCAUAGACAGCAGAAAAGAGUUUCAAACAGUUGCAUCAAUUAAUUAAGAAAAAAGUGCUUCAAAGAUCAGAUAAAUUUGAAAUACUUCAAGAGUGCAAAACCAUCACCAGAAGACAUCGACAGAUCUAAUUACCACCAUCAAGUUCAGUAAGUCUCAGUUAUGAAAUCUUUUUUACCAAAAUAAUCAGUUGUUGAGAGUUCCAAGGGAGCCUAAAAUCCACCAAUGAGACAAGCAAUAAACCACAAAUCACGACGACAAACCAACACAUUGGAUGAGUCUAUUCUUUUGUAUUAUUUUCAUUUAGUCCAUUUCAAGCCAAUGUGGAGAAGCCUUCAAAGUUGGAGUCUCCACAUUGAGUGUUUCUUUUAAGCCAAAGUUAGAGUCUCAACAUAUUGCAUACUUAGUUUUAAGUCAAAUACUCGAGUCACCAGCUACCUGUCAGAAUAAUGGGAUAUGUCUCCAAAUAUUCAAACAAUGGACCCUGAUACCACUUAAUGUAGUUUCUAGAGAUUCGCAAAAGCGAGUGACCUGCACUAAUGGGAUGAGCAACAAACCAAUAUUGACGACGUGACACUGACACCACAAUUUUACUAAAAACCUUAACAAAAUAAGGAUAUGUUCUGUUGAAUAAUCUUCAUUUAUCCUAUUCCUAACCAUUGGAUAAUUUAUUUUUACGACUUAGAGUUUAACUCCCACAAUUAGUAUGUGAGUACCAUUGUAUGUGAAUUGUGGUUUCACAGCUAAAUCAGUAUGGUAGAUUAUGUAGUACUAAAAGACAUUUUUAUUUCACUAUAGUUAAUUUAUAUGCUUCUAAGUAGGCAUCUUCACAAAAUUUUACAACUACAACAAAAAUCAGGAUUCAAUUAUACAAGUUUUCAAGUAAUUGUAUCUCUUGACACCGACACACAUGCUUGCAUUUAUACAUUUAUAACGUCCAUUUUUCAAAUUAUUAUUGGUGUCAGUGUCCAAUGCACGUGUGUGAGUGUUUCAUAGAUUGUAAUAAUUAGUAAAUACAAGGCAUAACAUAACAAUGAAAAACGAAUUUGAAAGGAAACACACCGGCAUGUUGACCCGCAUGUGCACCAGGAUAACCAGCAGGAGGGUACCCUUGUUGUGGAGGGUAUCCACUAGGAGGAUAACCUUGUUGUGGAGGAUACCCAGCAGGUGGAUAACCUUGUUGUGGAGGGUAUCCUUGCUGUGGAGGGUAUGCACCAGGUGGGUAACCAUGUCCUCCAUGUCCACCAUGUGCAGCAGCACCAGCUAUACCUUGAGCAAGAUGUGAAAACACCCCUUUGUCAGAAGAUUCAUCAUGUUUGUCCUUACCACCUCCCAUCUUUUAAACCAGACAAUAAAACACCUGAUCCAAAAAUUACAAAUUGUUACAGCAGAAUCAGAUCAUAAAAACAAAGAACCACAAACAUGGAAAUAUUGAAUCCCUAAUCAGAUCAUAAUUACAAAUCAAUGUUGACUAAACACAAUUAUAUGUGUCAGUGUCGUGUUGGAUAUCAGACACGCCUUCAAUCAAAUGUGUCUGACACUCACAAAAAAGCUAACAAUGAUGAUCUAUGGAAAUAAAGAAGCUAUGAAAUUGAUGAUAAUGAGUAAAGAAAACAAUAGGGAACUAACC